rnacentral:rRNA from 1 species
AGAGUUUGAUCAUGGCUCAGGAUGAACGCUAGCGGCAGGCUUAAUACAUGCAAGUCGAGGGGCAGCGGGGUGUAGCAAUACACUGCCGGCGACCGGCAAACGGGUGCGGAACACGUACGCAAUCUACCCACAACUGGGGCAUAGCCCUCCGAAAGGAGGAUUAAUACCUCGUAACAUCUUAGGGCGGCAUCGCUUUAAGAUUAUAGCUCCGGCGGUUGUGGAUGAGCGUGCGGCUGAUUAGGUAGUUGGCGGGGUAACGGCCCACCAAGCCUGCGAUCAGUAACUGGUGUGAGAGCACGACCAGUCACACGGGCACUGAGACACGGGCCCGACUCCUACGGGAGGCAGCAGUAAGGAAUAUUGGUCAAUGGCCGCAAGGCUGAACCAGCCAUGCCGCGUGAAGGAUGAAGGUCCUCUGGAUUGUAAACUCCUUUUGGGAGGGAUGAUACGGACAGUACCUCCUGAAUAAGCCCCGGCUAACUCUGUGCCAGCAGCCGCGGUAAUACAGAGGGGGCAAGCGUUGUCCGGACUUACUGGGCGUACAGCGCGCGCAGGUGGUCGGCUAAGUUCGUGGUGACAGCGUGCGGCUCAACCGCACACGGUCCAGGGAGACUGGUCGACUAGAGGCAUCGAGAGGGAUACGGAAUACCCGGUGGAGCGGUGAAAUGCGUAGAGAUCGGGUGGAACACCAGCGGCGAAGGCGGUAUCCUGGCGAUGACCUGACACUGAGGCGCGACAGCGUGGGGAGCAAACGGGAUUAGAUACCCUCGUAGUCC